CAGCACCUGCUCUGUCAUAAAGACGGGGUGAGCAUGGAUUCCAACCAUCCUGCUGGAGCCCAGGCCUCAAGAAACCCCAGACGUCAUUGCUGGUCUCUGUCCACCUGCCGGCUCCCAGACUCCUCCGAGGGCACCGGACGAGCAAGGUGCUGUUUGCAGAUGUCGCGGCGUCUGCAGACUUGAACCACAAGCGAAGUUCUCUGAGCCGGAGCUCGGCGCGGUGCCCUGACCGGCGGGGCGGCGGGAGCGGGACUCGCAGCGGCUGCGCCGAGGCCGCCGGGCGAUGCCCCCGCGCUUGGGAACACCGAGGUCCCCGGAGGAUCCGGGCCGGGAACAGCCUUGGGGAGACGGGAGCGGGCCCCGCCCGACGGAGCGAGGCUGCAGAGGCCUGAAGAGAGUGUAACUGUGUCCUUGGUCAGAGUCUGCAGGCUGAGUCUCUGAGGAGCCGAAACUGAGGAGCUAAAACAGCUCAGCCCUGUUGGCAUGGGCGGAGCCUGCCCAGGAGGCUGAUGCCCACAGCAGACCCUGGUUGCACCAGCUGACAGCUGUCACCGCAGUCAUUCUUAGGUGGAGCUCCUCAUAAGUCCAGCUAAAAUUA
rnacentral:lncRNA from 1 species